rnacentral:rRNA from 1 species
GACGAACGCUGGCGGCGUGCCUAAUACAUGCAAGUCGAACGCAGUUGCGAACGGGUGAGUAACGCGUAGGUAACUGCCUCAUUGCGGGGGAUAACUAAUGGAAACGAUAGCUCAUACCGCAUACUGUGAGCUGGACCUGCGUUGUAUUAGCUAGUUGGUGAGGUAAAGGCUCACCAAGGCGACGAUCCAUAGCCGACCUUGGAGGGUGAUCGGCCAAACUGGGACUGGGACACGGCCCAGACUCCUACGGGAAGGCGCAGUAGGGAAUCUUCGGAAAUGGACGGAAGUCUUACCGAGGAACGCCGCGGUGGUGAAGAAGGGUUUCGGGUUGUAAAGCUCUGUUGUUAGAGAAGCGGUAACUACCCAGAAAGGAACGGCUAACUACGUGCCAGCAGCCGCGGUAAUAC